GUCUGACACACCUGGGCACACACCUGGGCACACCUGGGGACAGCACCGGAACCAAUCAGGAGGUGGCACUGUUUGCUUUUCUGUGUGUUGGUUACACCUGUGGUGGCACCUGUCAGGUCCCCCAGGGCAGGGUCACACCUGGGCACUCACCUGGAGACAGCUGGGAACUCACCUGGUGGCACCUGGGCACAGCUGGAGACAGCUGGAGACAGCUGGGAACUCACCUGGUGGCACCUGGAGACACCUGAGAACAGUUGGGCACACCUGGACACACCUGGUGGCACCUGGAGACAUAUGUGGGGAGAGCUGGACACACCUGGUGGCACCUGGACACACCUGGGGACACCUGGGCACAGCUGAGAACAGCUGGGCACACCUGGACACACCUGGUGGCACCUGGGAACAGCUGGGAACUCACCUGGUGGCACCUGAGGACAGCACCAGGACAGGACAGGAGAUGGUGCCAGUGUGUCAGUGGCACCUGGUGGCACCUGGGCACACCUGGUGGCACCUGGACACACCUGGGGACAGCUGGACACACCUGGGCACACCUGGUGAACCUGAGGACCUGAUCAGGAGGUGGCACCGUUUGUUUCUGUGUGUGUUGGUGGCACCUGUGGUGGCACUGUCACCUCCCCCAGAGCAGGGUGACACCUGGGCACACCUGGGCACACCUGGGGACCAUCACGGACCAGGAGCAGGACAGGAGGUGGCACCACGGUGACAUCGUUCAUUUCUCUGUCUGUUGGUGGCACCUGGGACCAGGUGAGGUCACACCUGGGCACGGCACAGGAAGGGGACAGGAGGUGGCACUGAGGUGACAUCGGUCAUUUCUGUGUGCUGGUGGCACCUGGACAGGUUUGGUGGCACCUGGGCACACCUGGUGGCACCUGGGCACACCUGAGGUGGCACCUGGGCACACCUGGUGGCACCUGGGCACACCUGAGGUGGCACUUGGGCACACCUGAGGUGGCACCUGGACAGGUUUGGUGGCACCUGGACACACCUGAGGUGGCACUUGGGCACACACCUGGUGGCACCUGGACAGGUUUGGUGGCACCUGGGCACACCUGGUGGCACCUGGACAGGUUUGGUGGUACCUGGACACACCUGGUGGCACCUGGGCACACCUGGUGGCACCUGGACAGGUCUGGUGGCACCUGGGCACACCUGGUGGCACCUGGGCACACCUGAGGUGGCACCUGCCAUUGUCACCUGUCCCCAGGG
rnacentral:lncRNA from 1 species